UACGGAGGGGGCUAGCGUUGUUCGGAAUUACUGGGCGUAAAGGGCGCGCAGGCGGCUGCUCAAGUCAGGCGUGAAAGGCCUGGGCUCAACCCGGGAAUUGCGCUUGAGACUGGGCUGGCUUGAGUGCGGGAGAGGAUGGUGGAAUUCCCAGUGUAGAGGUGAAAUUCGUAGAUAUUGGGAAGAACACCGGUGGCGAAGGCGGCCAUCUGGACCGCAACUGACGCUGAGGCGCGAAAGCAUGGGGAGCAAACAGG
rnacentral:rRNA from 1 species